rnacentral:rRNA from 1 species
UACGUAGGGGGCUAGCGUUGUCCGGAAUCAUUGGGCGUAAAGCGCGUGUAGGCGGUCCGGUAAGUCCGCUGUGAAAGUCGGGGGGCUCAACCCUCGAAUGCCGGUGGAUACUGUCGGGCUAGAGUGCGGAAGAGGCGAGUGGAAUUCCUGGUGUAGCGGUGGAAAUGCGCAGAUAUCAGGAGGAACACCGAUUGCGAAGGCAGCUCGCUGGGACGUCACUGACGCUGAGACGCGAAAGCGUGGGGAGCAAACAGGG